rnacentral:rRNA from 1 species
AGAGUUUGAUCCUGGCUCAGGACGAACGCUGGCGGCGUGCCUAAUACAUGCAAGUCGAACGCUUCUUUUUCCACCGGAGCUUGCUCCACCGGAAAAAGAGGAGUGGCGAACGGGUGAGUAACACGUGGGUAACCUGCCCAUCAGAAGGGGAUAACACUUGGAAACAGGUGCUAAUACCGUAUAACAAUCGAAACCGCAUGGUUUUGAUUUGAAAGGCGCUUUCGGGUGUCGCUGAUGGAUGGACCCGCGGUGCAUUAGCUAGUUGGUGAGGUAACGGCUCACCAAGGCGACGAUGCAUAGCCGACCUGAGAGGGUGAUCGGCCACAUUGGGACUGAGACACGGCCCAAACUCCUACGGGAGGCAGCAGUAGGGAAUCUUCGGCAAUGGACGAAAGUCUGACCGAGCAACGCCGCGUGAGUGAAGAAGGUUUUCGGAUCGUAAAACUCUGUUGUUAGAGAAGAACAAGGAUGAGAGUAACUGUUCAUCCCUUGACGGUAUCUAACCAGAAAGCCACGGCUAACUACGUGCCAGCAGCCGCGGUAAUACGUAGGUGGCAAGCGUUGUCCGGAUUUAUUGGGCGUAAAGCGAGCGCAGGCGGUUUCUUAAGUCUGAUGUGAAAGCCCCCGGCUCAACCGGGGAGGGUCAUUGGAAACUGGGAGACUUGAGUGCAGAAGAGGAGAGUGGAAUUCCAUGUGUAGCGGUGAAAUGCGUAGAUAUAUGGAGGAACACCAGUGGCGAAGGCGGCUCUCUGGUCUGUAACUGACGCUGAGGCUCGAAAGCGUGGGGAGCAAACAGGAUUAGAUACCCUGGUAGUCCACGCCGUAAACGAUGAGUGCUAAGUGUUGGAGGGUUUCCGCCCUUCAGUGCUGCAGCUAACGCAUUAAGCACUCCGCCUGGGGAGUACGACCGCAAGGUUGAAACUCAAAGGAAUUGACGGGGGCCCGCACAAGCGGUGGAGCAUGUGGUUUAAUUCGAAGCAACGCGAAGAACCUUACCAGGUCUUGACAUCCUUUGACCACUCUAGAGAUAGAGCUUCCCCUUCGGGGGCAAAGUGACAGGUGGUGCAUGGUUGUCGUCAGCUCGUAUCGUGAGAUGUUGGGUUAAGUCCCGCAACGAGCGCAACCCUUAUUGUUAGUUGCCAUCAUUUAGUUGGGCACUCUAGCAAGACUGCCGGUGACAAACCGGAGGAAGGUGGGGAUGACGUCAAAUCAUCAUGCCCCUUAUGACCUGGGCUACACACGUGCUACAAUGGGAAGUACAACGAGUCGCAAAGUCGCGAGGCUAAGCUAAUCUCUUAAAGCUUCUCUCAGUUCGGAUUGUAGGCUGCAACUCGCCUACAUGAAGCCGGAAUCGCUAGUAAUCGCGGAUCAGCACGCCGCGGUGAAUACGUUCCCGGGCCUUGUACACACCGCCCGUCACACCACGAGAGUUUGUAACACCCGAAGUCGGUGAGGUAACCUUUUGGAGCCAGCCGCCUAAGGUGGGAUAGAUGAUUGGGGUGAAGUCGUAACAAGGUAGCCGUAUCGGAAGGUGCGGCUGGAUCACCU